AACUUUAUAUGAAAUAAAAAAAAAAAAAAAAAAAGAGGUUCAUCCGAGGCGUGGUUAUUGCUAGUUGAAAACUAAUCCCAAUACCCCGCGCUGACGCCCUUCACUGGGCGGCAUGCGCAAUUUUUGCUAGCUCCUACGGGAG